AAGAAAGUAAAUAAGGGCGAAUGGUGAAUGCCUUGGCUCUCAGAGGCGAUGAAGGACGUGACAAGCUGCGAUAAGCUGCGGGGAGGAGCAAAUAUCCAUUAUAUCCGCAGAUUUCCGAAUGGGGAAACCCUUCCGGCUGAAGGCCGGAAAUCCCUCCGCCAACUGGCGGAGAGGAGGCAAACCCGGGGAACUGAAACAUCUUAGUACCCGGAGGAAAAGAAAACAACAGUGAUUCCCUUAGUAGUGGCGAUCGAAAGGGGAAUAGCCCAAACCAGUGUCGUUUAGGCGAUACCGGGGUUGAAGGACUGCCACAUGGAUAUACAAAUGAGAAAUGGAAGCGUACUGGAAAGUUGUACCAUAGAGGGUGAUAGUCCCGUACAUGCAAUCAGAUGUAUAUCCGGCAGUAUCCUGAGUAAGGCGGGACACGUGAAAUCCUGUCUGAAUCAGCCGGGACCAUCCGGCAAGGCUAAAUACUACUGAGAGACCGAUAGUGAACCAGUACCGUGAGGGAAAGGUGAAAAGCACCCCAAACAGGGGAGUGAAAUAGUACCUGAAACCAUUCGCCUACAAUCGGUCGGAGUCCGCCAGCUGGCGGAUGACGGCGUGCCUUUUGCAUAAUGAGCCUACGAGUUACUCCUCACUAGCAAGGUUAAUCCCGUUAACGGGAGGAGCCGAAGCGAAAGCGAGUCUGAAUAGGGCGCACGUCCUGAAUUUAUUCAGGACAAAGUUAGUGGGGGUAGACGCGAAACUUUGUGAUCUAUCCUUGGUCAGGCUGAAGUUCCGGUAACACGGGAUGGAGGGCCGAACUAGUGGACGUUGAAAAGUCCUUGGAUGAACUGAGGAUAGGGGUGAAAGGCCAAUCAAACUGAGAGAUAGCUCGUACUCCCCGAAAUGCAUUUAGGUGCAGCCUCGGGGUUAGUCUUGCAGAGGUAGAGCUACUGAUAGGGCUAGAGGGCUUCACCGCCUAUCAAACCCUGACAAACUCCGAAUGCUGCAAGAUGGUAUCCGGGAGUGAGCCUGCGGAUGCUAAGGUCCGUGGACGAAAGGAGGAGAAUCCGGACCAUCAGCUAAGGUCCCCAAAUGUAUGCUAAGUUGGUUAAACGAAGUGCGACUGCUUUGACAGCUAGGAUGUUGGCUUGGAAGCAGCCAUUCAUUUAAAGAGUGCGUAACAGCUCACUAGUCGAGCGGUUGUGCGUGGAUAAUAAGCGGGCAUAAGUAUACUACCGAAGCUAUGGUCCCCUCCGCCAGCCGGCGGAGGGGAGGUAGGGGAGCAUUCCAGUCAGCGUCGAAGGCUCCGCGUGAGCGGGACUGGAGCGUCUGGAAAAGAAGAUGUAGGCAUAAGUAACGAUAAUCCCGGUGAGAAACCGGGACACCGAAAGACUAAGGUUUCCUGAUCAACGUUAAUCGGAUCAGGGUUAGUCGGGUCCUAAGGGUAAUCCGCCAACUGGCGGAAAUCCUGAUGGGUAACUGGUCAAUAUUCCAGUACCACCGUAUACUGCGAUGGGGUGACGGAGAAGUGAAAAAUCCGCGUACUGACGGAAUAGUACGUUAAAGGGUGUAGUUAUAUCUGGAGGUUAAUAGCUUCCGGAUGGCGAACCUGAAAGUACCAUGAGCCUUCGGGCAAGUGGAUAGUGAUUCUAAACAGGCUCCCGAGAAAAACCUCUAAGCUUCAGGUAUAUGGUGCCCGUACCACAAACCGACACAGGUAGUCGAGGAGAGAAUCCUAAGGUGCUCGAGUGAUCCGUGGCUAAGGAACUAGGCAAAUUAGACCUGUAACUUCGGGAUAAAGGUCUCCCCCGAGUUCUCGGGGGACGCAGUUAAACGGCCCAGGCGACUGUUUAGCAAAAACACAUGGCUUUGCGAAAUCGAAAGAUAAUGUAUAAGGCCUGACACCUGCCCGGUGCCGGAAGGUUAAGAGGAGGGGUUAUUCCGCCAGCUGGCGGAAGAAGCUCUGAAUCGAAGCCCCGGUAAACGGCGGCCGUAACUAUAACGGUCCUAAGGUAGCGAAAUUCCUUGUCGGGUAAGUUCCGACCUGCACGAAUGGUGUAACGAUCUGGGCACUGUCUCAGCCACGAGCUCGGUGAAAUUGUAGUUCCGGUGAAGAUGCCGGAUACCCGCAACGGGACGGAAAGACCCCGUGAACCUUUACUACAACUUAACAUUGAUUCUGGGUAAGUGAUGUGUAGGAUAGGUCGGAGACUGUGAAGCCGCGGCGCCAGCCGUGGUGGAGUCGCCCUUGAAAUACGACCCUUCAUUUGCCUGGAACCUAACCCGCCAGCCGGCGGGGACAUUGUUUGGCGGGUAGUUUGACUGGGGUGGUCGCCUCCAAAAGAGUAACGGAGGCUCCUCAAGGUACCCUCAGCACGAUUGGUAACCGUGCGUAGAGUGCAAUGGCAUAAGGGUGCUUGACUGUGAGACUGACUAGUCGACCAGAUACGAAAGUAGAGCAUAGUGAUCCGGUGGUUCCAUAUGGAAGGGCCAUCGCUCAAAGGAUAAAAGGUACUCCGGGGAUAACAGGCUGAUCGCCGCCAAGAGCUCACAUCGACGCGGCGGUUUGGCACCUCGAUGUCGGCUCGUCACAUCCUGGGGCUGGAGAAGGUCCCAAGGGUUCGGCUGUUCGCCGAUUAAAGUGGCACGCGAGCUGGGUUCAGAACGUCGUGAGACAGUUCGGUCCCUAUCUGUUGUGGGCGCUGGAGAUUUGAGAAAAUCUGACACUAGUACGAGAGGACCGUGUUGGACAGACCUCCGGUGUACCUGUUGUGGCGCCAGCCGCACUGCAGGGUAGCUGUGUCUGGAAGAGAUAAGCGCUGAAAGCAUAUAAGCACGAAGCUCAUUUCAAGAUGAGAUCUCCCUUAAGGGUCGUCGCAGACUACGACGUUGAUAGGCUGCAGGUGUAAAGACGGCAACGUCAAAGCCGAGCAGUACUAAUAACCCGUGAACUUUCUGAG
rnacentral:rRNA from 1 species